GACGAACGCUGGCGGCGUGCCUAAUACAUGCAAGUUGAGCGCUGAAGGUUGGUACUUGUACCAACUGGAUGAGCAGCGAACGGGUGAGUAACGCGUGGGGAAUCUGCCUUUGAGCGGGGGACAACAUUUGGAAACGAAUGCUAAUACCGCAUAAAAACUUUAAACACAAGUUUUAAGUUUGAAAGAUGCAAUUGCAGCACUCAAAGAUGAUCCCGCGUUGUAUUAGCUAGUUGGUGAGGUAAAGGCUCACCAAGGCGAUGAUACAUAGCCGACCUGAGAGGGUGGUCGGCCACAUUGGGACGGGGACACGGCCCAAAAUCCUACGGGAGGCAGCAGUAGGGGAUCUUCGGCAAUGGACGAAAGGCUGACCGAGCAACGCCGCGUGAGUGAAGAAGGUUUUCGGAUCGUAAAACUCUGUUGGUAGAGAAGAACGUUGGUGAGAGUGGAAAGCUCAUCAAGUGACGGUACCUACCCAGAAAGGGACGGCUAACUACGUG
rnacentral:rRNA from 1 species